AUUAGGAAUCUUGCGCAAUGGGCGAAAGCCUGACGCAGCGACGUCGCGUGAAGGAUGAAAUCUUUCGGGAUGUAAACUUCUUUUACCAGGGAAGAAAGCAAUGACGGUACCUGGUGAAUAAGCCCCGGCUAACUACGUGCCAGCAGCCGCGGUAAUACGUAGGGGGCGAGCGUUGUCCGAAGUUACUGGGCGUAAAGAGCGCGUAGGCGGGUUUUUAAGUGAGGGGUGAAAUUCCGAGGCUCAACCUCGGAACUGCCUUUCAUACUGGGAAUCUUGAGUGUGGGAGAGGCGAGUGGAAUGGUCGGUGUAGCGGUGAAAUGCGUAGAUAUCGAUCGGAACACCCAUGGCGAAGGCAGCUCGCUGGCCCAUAACUGACGCUGAGGCGCGAAAGCGUGGGGAGCAAACA
rnacentral:rRNA from 1 species